UACGUAGGGUGCAAGCGUUGUCCGGAAUUAUUGGGCGUAAAGAGCUCGUAGGCGGUUUGUCGCGUCUGCCGUGAAAGUCCGGGGCUCAACUCCGGAUCUGCGGUGGGUACGGGCAGACUAGAGUGAUGUAGGGGAGACUGGAAUUCCUGGUGUAGCGGUGAAAUGCGCAGAUAUCAGGAGGAACACCCGAGGCGAAGGCGGCUCUCUGGGUCGUACCUGACGCUGAGGCGCGAAAGCGUGGGGAGCGAACAGG
rnacentral:rRNA from 1 species